CUGGGGUGAAUAUGGCAUCCCUGGGGUGAAUAUGGCACUCCUGGCAUAAAUAUGGCAUCCCUGGGGUGAAUAUGGCAUUCCAGGAAUGAAUAUGGCAUCCAUGGCAUGAAUAUGGCACUCCUGGCACAGACAUGAAGGCAUCCCCAGCAUGAAUAUGGCAUUCUUGGCAUAAAAAUGGCACUCCUGGCACAGACAUGAUGGCAUCCCCGGCAUAAUUAUGCCAACCCUGGCAUGAAUAUGGCAUCCCUGGCACAAACACGAUGGCAUCUCUGGCAUGAAUAUGGCAUCCCUUGCACGAAUAUGGCACCCCAGCAUAAAAAUGGCAUCCCUGGCACAAACAUGGCACUCCUGGCACAGACAUGAUGGCAUCCCCAGCAUAAAUAUGCCAACCCUGGCAUGAAUCUGACAUCCCCGGCAUAGACAUGAUGGCAUCUCUGGCAUGAAUAUGGCUCUCUGGGAAUGAAUAUGGCAUCCCUGGCACAGACAUGAUGGCAUCCCCAGCACGAAUACGGCAUCUCUGGCAUGAAUAUGGCAUUCCUGGCAUGAAUAUGGCACCCCUGGCACAGAUAUGAGGGCAUCCCUGGCAUGAAUAUGGCAUCCAUGGCAUGAAAUGGCACUCCUGGUAUGGACAUGAUGGCAUCCCCAUCAUAAAUAUGCCAACCCUGGCAUGAAUAUGGCAUCCCUGGCAUAAAAAUGGCACUCCUGGCAUGAAAUGGCACUCCUGGCACAGACAUGAGGGCAUCCCUGGCACGAAUAUGGCAUCCCUGGCAUGAAUAUGGCACUCCUAGCAGGAAUAUGGCACUCAUGACACAGACAUGGUGGCACCCCCAGCAUAAAUAUGGCAUCUCUGGCAUAAAAAUGGCACUCUGGGCAUGAAUAUGGCAUCCCUGGCAUAAAAAUGGCAUCCCUAGCACAAACAUGGCACUCCUGGCACAGACAUGAUGGCAUCCCCAGCAUGAAUAUGGCAUCCCUGGCACAAACAUGGCACCCCUGGUAUAGACAUGAGGGCAUCCGUGGCACGAAUAUGGCACUCCUGGCAUGAAUAUGGCAACCCUGGCAUGAAUAUGGCACUCCUAGCAUGAAUAUGGCAUCCAUGGCACGAAUAUGGCACUCCUGGCACAGACAUGAUGGCAUCCCCAGUAUAAAUAUGCCAACCCUGGCAUGAAUAUGGCAUCCCUGGCACAGACACGAUGGCAUCGCUGGCAUGAAUAUGGCAUCCCUGGCACGAAUAUGGCACCCCCGGCAGGAAUGCAGCACCAUUGGCACUGUG
ensembl:lncRNA